UACCUUAAGUAAUUCUGUGUAGUCCUA
rnacentral:sRNA from 1 species